CACCGACCACACGGGAGCGCGCACCGAGCGUGCUGAGAGGACAACUGGGGUUGUCGACCGUCCGAACCUGACCGGGUAAUUCCGGCGUAGGGAGAUUUUCGAUGACUGAUA
rnacentral:ncRNA from 2 species